AGAACUUAGCAGAGAUGCUUUGGUGCCUUCGGGAACUCUGAGACAGGUGCUGCAUGGCUGUCGUCAGCUCGUGUUGUGAAAUGUUGGGUUAAGUCCCGCAACGAGCGCAACCCUUAUCCUUUGUUGCCAGCGGCUCGGCCGGGAACUCAAAGGAGACUGCCGGUGAUAAACCGGAGGAAGGUGGGGAUGACGUCAAGUCAUCAUGGCCCUUACGGCCAGGGCUACACACGUGCUACAAUGGCGCAUGCAAAGAGAAGCGACCUCGCGAGAGCAAGCGGACCUCAUAAAGUGCGUCGUAGUCCGGAUUGGAGUCUGCAACUCGACUCCAUGAAGUCGGAAUCGCUAGUAAUCGUAGAUCAGAAUGCUACGGUGAAUACGUUCCCGGGCCUUGUACACACCGCCCGUCACACCAUGGGAGUGGGUUGCAAAAGAAGUAGGUAGCUUAACCUUCGGGAGGGCGCUUACCACUUUGUGAUUCAUGACUGGGGUGAAGUCGUAACAAGGUAGGCGUAGCGAG
rnacentral:rRNA from 1 species